rnacentral:lncRNA from 1 species
ACACUACGGGCACUUCUUUGUCUCACUAUCACGGGCAUAUUUUGUACUGUGCCUGUGGUUUCAAAUUUUUCCACUGGACGCUCAAUUGUUAAUAUAAUAGGACGACUAUGACGACCAUAAAUUGGACGUAGCGCUCUUAAAGUUGAGCCCACUGACUCUGUAUAUUUUUUCAUGGUAAAAAGGCAAACCUUACUGAAGAGCAAUGUCACAAGAGCAGGAAAGCAACUUUUUGUGGCGUCCCUAUGAAAAAGCCCAGUAUAUAACCUUAUACACAAAAUCUUCUUUUAAGGGUUAAGGGUCUUAAAUUCGAAGAGCAUUAGUUUUGCUAUAAUAUAUGAACGUUAAUAUCUCCUAUACUCAUUAAAAUAAAAUAAUAUAAAGACAUUAACACUUCCUUAUAAGUGCAAAAGAAUAAGAACAACAGGAAAUCGCGCAUAUAAAAGAAGAAGAACAAUACAAAGACCCACAAGUGAAUAACACAAUAAGACAUAAUAAGAAUAUAUGCGGUUAAUGUUUCGGCAAUUUCCAUAAAUAAUAGCAAGUCUAUGGGAAAUAGCAGAGCAAUAAAAAUAUAGCAACAGCAUGAAGCAGACAUGAGAAUUUUUGAGGCGCAAAUAAGAAUAUUUAAAAUAAAAUAAAAGUGCUGGCAUUAAAUGGAAAUUAAAAUUCAAAAUUCAUAUGUCUUAUACUCUGUACAUAUCUCUAGCCACGACUGCAAGCUCACUUGUCGCCAGCGCAGGCGCCGUAUAUGGCAGGCGGACUUCCUAAACAGUUAAAAGACACACAUUCAAACACACACACACACAUUGAAGCAAAUUGAGAAAUACGCAAGAAAUGAAAGAAAAACGUAAUCAAACUUCAGCAAUAAGAUGUGGAAUACUCUUAUAAGCAAAAGCAAUGCACAAAUUUGCUCCAAAGACACAAUUUCGCGUAAAAAUCGUAGAAAAUAAGAUCUUAAACCGCUUAAACGGGCGAAUCAGUACAUAACGGUGACGAAAUCUGACUCACUUUUGAUCAACGGAACUGCAGCAAACGAAUAAAGCAACAAAAGCAAUUAUGUCGAAAAUUGCCAAAUUAGUUUCAAUGAAUCGCAAUAAAGUAAACCAAAAAAUUUCUAGACGACAGGUAUGAGUCAAUAGACGGACCAAAUCAAUGCUUAGAAGCGAGGAAAUGGCCGUGACAGCAAAGGAACAUAACAGUUGUGAAUGACAAGCGGCUUUCAUUCGGUUAUUAGAGCUGUUAGCUGCUUUUCCAUUACUGAAGCAGAGAGUAUUCAAACAGAGAACGACUUCCAACAGGCAAUGGUUAAUAGCAGACUAUCUUCUUUAAACUCAAAAAUUGUUCAGGAACUUAUGUAUAAGGCUUUUGAAACUGUAGGAUCUCUUCUGUAGGGACACUGCUGCUAUCGCAGCUUUAUGACUUAGAUUACUUAAUAGCCACAAUGGAUGUGGAUUUAUUUCCAGAAAGAAACAGUGACCACACAUUUUUCUGUUGUGAUAUCCACAAAACUCAAUACAACAGCUCCGAUUACAUUAUUGGAUCACUUAGAUUAUACAUAUACAUAUGUAUGCAUCUCCGCCGUGAAUAUGUACAACGCUAUUUUCAUAUGAUCUUUCUCAAGUAUUCUAACCUUAAAAUAUCUGUGCCGAAAUCUAAAAUCUAAUUUGAUAAUCUUGGCUUCCAUAACUAACCCCAAAUUAUUACAUUUAAAUUUGGAUUAUUAAACACAAAUAUUGUGAUAUCUUACAAACAAGAAAACUAUAAAAUAACUAUAAACUAUUAAUAUUAACAAAAAUAACACCAACAAAACUGAAAGUUAACACUGUUGAGGAUUUUAGUAAUAUGUGAAUCGGUAUUUAUAGAGAAGGCGAUGGCUGUAAUAACGACGGAACCCCAACACUAAUUUCGAUUGCUUUGAAAGUGUUCAUAGAAAGGUGGCGGAGGUGACAAUGCCAAAAUUAAAUUGUCAAAUUUUGUGACACAACAACAAAAAACAGUUAUACUACAUAUAUAAGUGUAUGUAUGAAUAAUUAAAUAGAUAUACAUAAGUGUUAGGAAAAGUAAUAGUAAAAUGGAAAUACAAGCCACAGCGAUUACAUACUUAAGUACAUACAUACAUACAUAUUUAUGUAUGAAUAUAAUUCGAAGGUUCAAGCUCACAAUAAUAACAACAAAUAAGCGGUAAAAGCUAAUGCCGAAGACGAAACAACAACAAAGCGGCAAUAAACUUAAUAUUUCUACAGAAUUAAUAUUACAAAAAAAACAAUGGCUCCUAACGUAAUCGCCGGCACGCCCAACCGCAAAACCCGCUUCAACGCUCACCACAAAGUCAGCAUUGCCCUCCGCUUCCUCUCUCUCACCUUCACAACAAUAAAGCACUUGAAUGACCAACACAAUACAAACACACACACACGCACAGUGUAAGCCGACACAGCGAUUUCGCAUAAUCAUAAUAAAAAGGCAUGCGAAAGAGAAAUUAAAAUGAUAAUAACAACAAAAGAUAAUAUAAUAAUAAGUAUAAUCAUGACGAAAAUUAAACAAAAAUAUGUAUGUAAAUAAAACAGUUACAAAUGAACGCAACUGCAAUAGUAAAACUGCAUAAGUCAUAAGCGAAUUAACCUCAAAAAAGUAACGAUAAAUAAGGAAAUCGUGUGAAAAAAAUUUGCAAAAAAUUAAAAAUAUAAAAAAAACAUAAAAAUUUAA